rnacentral:tRNA from 1 species
UGAAUUGUUGACUAAUUGGCAAGUCACCUAAAUUUGAGCUAGGUCAAUGUACGUUCGAAUCGUGCCAAUUCAU